CCCUAGUAUGAAGUAAAUAUUACUGAUUAAUAUAUUGAAAUUUAAUAAUUCUGGCGGUUAAUUAUAAAUUAGAGGAGCUUGUUGGAUUGGAUGAUGCCCUUUAAAUCUUAUUAAUUUAGGUUUAUUCAUCUCCGUUAUUAGAUAUAAAUUAGAUAUAAUUAUUAAUUUAUUUUUAAUAUUUCAGGUCAAGAUGUAGCUUUAAUUAGAUAAUAUUAGCUACAAUUAUAAAAUAAUGGAGUUUAUUUUGGAAAAGUAGAUGAAAAUGAAUUUGAUUGUAAUAUUAAUUAGAGAAUUAGUAUGAAAUAUUUAUUAAUGUA
rnacentral:rRNA from 1 species